rnacentral:rRNA from 1 species
AUUGAACGCUGGCGGCAUGCUUUACACAUGCAAGUCGAACGGUAACAGGUUAAGCUGACGAGUGGCGAACGGGUGAGUAAUGCAUCGGAACGUGCCCGAUCGUGGGGGAUAACACUUCGAAAGAAGUGCUAAUACCGCAUACGAUCUGAGGAUGAAAGCGGGGGACCGUAAGGCCUCGCGCGAUCGGAGCGGCCGAUGUCAGAUUAGGUAGUUGGUGGGGUAAAGGCUCACCAAGCCGACGAUCUGUAGCUGGUCUGAGAGGACGACCAGCCACACUGGGACUGGGACACGGCCCAGACUGCUUCGGGAGGCAGCAGUGGGGAAUUUUGGACAAUGGGCGAAAGCCUGAUCCAGCCAUGCCGCGUGCAGGAUGAAGGCCUUCGGGUUGUAAACUGCCUUUGUACGGAACGAAAAGGUUUGGCCUAAUAAGCUGAGCUCAUGACGGUACCGUAAGAAUAAGCACCGGCUAACUACGUGCCAGCCGCCGCGGUAA